UACGUAGGGUGCGAGCGUUAAUCGGAAUUACUGGGCGUAAAGCGUGCGCAGGCGGUUCGUCGUGUCCGAUGUGAAAGCCCCGGGCUCAACCUGGGAAUGGCAUUGGAAACUGGCGGACUCGAGUGUGGCAGAGGGGGGUGGAAUUCCGCGUGUAGCAGUGAAAUGCGUAGAGAUGCGGAGGAACACCGAUGGCGAAGGCAGCCCCCUGGGCUAACACUGACGCUCAAGCACGAAAGCGUGGGGAGCAAACAGG
rnacentral:rRNA from 1 species